UACAGAGGGUGCAAGCGUUAAUCGGAAUUACUGGGCGUAAAGCGUGCGCAGACGGUUGCGUAAGUCAGAUGUGAAAGCCCCGGGCUCAACCUGGGAAUUGCAUUUGAGACUGCGUAGCUAGGGUGCGGAAGAGGGAAGCGGAAUUUCCGGUGUAGCGGUGAAAUGCGUAGAUAUCGGAAGGAACACCAGUGGCGAAAGCGGCUUCCUGGUCCAGCACCGACGUUCAGGCACGAAAGCAUGGGGAGCAAACAGG
rnacentral:rRNA from 1 species